GCCAGGAAAAUCUCUUCUUUCCUUCCUCCUUUCGCCGCACCCUCCGUCUUCGUCGUUCCCCACCAGAGCGAUCCCUGGAUCUCGCCAUCCGUCAAAUAAUUCGAGCUCCCUCCUGGUGAUAUUACUUCAGCAUGAGUUCAAUUGCUCGGAUCUGGUCGAAUCAGAAAGAGAGAAGCAGUAGAGCAGGCAGUCACGCGGAGAUCGGCGACGCCGUCGAGCAGGUGGCCGCGCUGGAGAAGGAAGGUGCCGAAGAGCAGGCGGCACUGUAGAGCAGGCGAAGUCGAGCCCGGGGAGAAGGAUGGCGCCGUCAAGCCGACAGCUGCGCGAAGAACGGCGGCGUCGAGCAUGCGGCCGCGCGGAGAAGGACGGCGCCGUCGAGCCGGCGGCCGCGCAAUGAACGGCGGUGCGUCGAGCAUGCGGCCGCGUGGAGAACUGCGGCGCGUCGAGCUGCCGGCCGUGCGGAGGACGCGCUGUCAAGCAGGCUGCCGCGCAAAGAACCCCUCCGGUGCAUGCUUCGGCCGGCAGUCCACGUCCAGCAGGCAUCGAGGAUGGUUGGGGGACUUCAUCGCUAUGGUUCCAAUAAGUUUCAAGCUUAGGCAGCUGUCGGCUGACAGCUGUGACUACCGCCAUAUCCGAGACCUCCCCUCCACGCCUUUCUCCAUUGCCAUUAGCUACUCCUCCUUCUCCCAACUGGAUGAUGAUACUUUUGCCCCGCAUAUUUGGCAUAAUGCGGCCCCCUCGAGAUGUCGCUCGUUCCUUUGGCUGGUGCAUCACCACAAGCUGAAUACCAAUGCUCGGCUUCGCGAGCGCCGAGCCAACAACUCUGGUCUGUGCCCCCUUUGUGCCGUUCCUGAAGAUGUUCGUCACCUCUUUCUCUUUUGUCCUCGUGCUAAAGAAAUCUGGGCCGUUAUUGGCCUCCCGGGUCUCUCGGUCGGUGAUGUUGAAUCUCUCUGGGGCAUCUCCCUUCCUGGUCCCAACAUCGACAACGGCAAGGUUCGCUCUACACUUUGGAAUAUUUGGAAGCGCCGCAAUGCUCUGGUUUUCAGACUUGAGGAGGAAACUUGCGUCUUCACCUUGCGCCGCUGCUCAGCCGAUCUCCAGCUUUGGCGACACAGGGUGCAAGACCGGCGUGGCGUGCUAAGCUCUGUCUGGAUGCUUGGAGCUCUUUCUUAUGUAAUUAUUUUUAAUCUUUGUUCCUAGUGUUUUUUCUUUUCCUUGCCAGGCGUGUGUCUGGCAACCUUUGUCUUGCUCUGCUCUGCCCCCCACCCUGUACUUCUCUUGAACCGUGUAUCCCCCUCUGUUUUUUGGCAAUAUAUGGUUCAGGCUGGCCCAAAGGGCCCGCCGUAGUUCCGGUCAAAUAGAGCAAAGCAAAACAAGAUAGAUCAAUCUGAAGUUAACUUAGAAAUACUUGACUAGUUGGAGUCUUUAUAGAACACAACACGAUAUGCUUGAGAUUAAAAUGUGAAGUAAAAAACUAAAGAGGUACAUUCAAACACGACAUGCCUGAGUAGAGAGCAUACAUUGACAAUACACACAUAUUAUUGAGAAACUAAAUAAUUAUUCUAUGCUUGAUCACCUCCAAAACGCUGAAAUAUAUGUUCAACCAAGUCUGCUUUGAGACGACCAUGCAUAUCUCGAUUCCGAAUAUCUUCUUCUAUCUCUAGAGCUCUAGCAAACCCAUGAAUUGGCCCAUGUCCAUAAUUUAACAGUGGCGUGGAGGUACCAUUGUCAUAGUCAUACUCGUAGUCAUCAUCAUAGCAAACUCUAAAAGUAUCCCUUUCAUCCUCCACAAUCAUGUUGUAUAAUAUAAUACAUGCAUACAAAAUCUCAGCGAGUGAUUGCACUUGCCACAUACGAGCUGGGCUUCUUCGAAUGGCGAAGCGAGCUUGCAAAACACCAAAUGCACGCUCGACAUCUUUUCUUGCUCCCUCUUGACGUUCUGCAAAUAUUUUGUCUUUGCUGCAUUGAGAACAAACAAGUUAAUACACUGAUAGUAGCGCAUUGAUACAUGAUCUGAUUCACAAGAGCAGUACAACAAUACUCAUUUAAUUUAGAGAGGUAGUACAAGUGAACUAGUCAAAGAAAAAAGAGAACAUUUCAACUAAAAAACUGAGUAGCUAAGUAAGUCAGCACCUCUUCAUGUCGUGCCUUGGUAACUUCAUCAUAGCUUGUAGUGUCUUUAUAUAGCAACGCCAUGUACUUAUCCAUCAUCUGCAGCUUUGUCUUUCCCUUCUCAGCAUCUGCCAUUUUAUUAUCAGCUUCAGCUUUGGCUUUGUGCAGCUUGUGCUUUGGCAAGGGUUGCUUCAGCCAUUUUUUCAACAGCAAUAGCUUUUUUAACUGAAGUUCAUUGAAAAGGCUCACAUUUUCAUUUGAAAUAGUGUCUUCUGAAUAUACUGACUUGCCCUUUCCUUUUUAUUGAGCUUUGGAUGUAUUUCGCCCUGGUGGUCAGCACCUGGCUGCAGGGUCUGCAUCUUCGCUGUCUUGAUUUGAAGAAGAAUAAGCUCCUGAUGCAUUCAGCAUGCUUCUCUUGUUCAUCAUUUCUUCAAUUGUGUAAGCUUUACUCCACUUGGGUUGAUCCUUCACUGCUCUCCACCAAUACUCCAAUGCAAAAGGUCUCUUUUUGUUAACAACUUUUUUGUACUCUUCACGGGCUCUUUCCAUGACUUGGUCAUCAGAUUCGCCACUAGCAUGCUCUCUCCUUGCCUUGUCAUAACAUCCAUUGAACUUGGUAAUAAAAGGUAUAGUCUUGUUCCAAUGGUUUUUCAACUUAGCUGUUGUUCUUCUUUGCUCUUCGGGUGCAUGCAAAUUGUACUCUACUGCAACAUCCUUCCAGUACCUAUCUCCCCUUCUAUCAACUCCUUGAAUUGAAUCAUUAGAACACUUCAACCAAGCACUUACUAACCUAAGGGUUAGCAGGAUCUUCUUGUUGAAGUUGCUCUUGGGACACCGGAGAAGCUGAACCAACAGGGCUGCUCUCAUCAGCUCGUGAAUCACUACCUUGAAAGAAGGCGAUGGAUCCAACUGGUGUUGCUUGUCCACCUCCCUGUUGUUGUCGUCUCAGGCCCUGAAUUCAAGAGAUUUGACAAAGAGGAAGUGUUCUCCAUGACUACAAUACGAGAGCAAUAGAUUUGUAUGCUCAUGUAUAUGGUCUCUGUGUAUAUAUAUAGCACUUUAGUCUAGAUGAGCCAACGGUAAAAUUCUUGUGUCCGUUGAAUGUAGACGUUGGCUGCAUGCAGAGGGAGAGAGUCAGGUUUCAACUGCCACUGUUGCUACAGUAAAUAUAUGUUUCUUUACUCUUUGGGCACCGGUGAAUGUAGAUGCCUUGCUUCCUGGUUUUUGGGCAUCA